CAAAACACUACUUUUUCUUUUCUCUAAGUGCUAAUAUCUUCAUUUCCAAGCUCAGCUUGCCCUUUUGCUAUUGAUUUUGUUCAUUGCUUGCUGAUUCUUUGAUGCUUAGGGAAUUACACAGUUUAGAUACAGAGGGAACCAAGAAAAUGUUGAAGAGCAAAGCAACGAAAUUCUUGAAGAGGAUAACAUUAGUUUUGGCAUCAAUGGCCAAGGCUAAAACUUUAGCUCUCAAGAGCAAAACCCAUGCCUUGAAAACUCGGUUGAUGAUAUUCUUUCUGUUGAGGGACAAGAAGAUUCUGAUGAGCUCCAUCUCACAUAAGCUCCAUUCUAUUAUGGGCCAGCAGGAACAUGACAAAGAUCAAGAAGAUGGAGAUAAUAACAUGGGAGAACAAAGCAAGUCCAUUGUGCUUUAUAACCACGGCUCCAUGUCCCUUCCCAGUCCCACUCAAAUGGAGUUACUGGAGAAUGCUGAUGAACAAGACAAUAUCUACGGCUAUGGCUAUGGCUAUGGCUACAACUAUGAAGAUGAGGAUGAUGAAGAGAAGUUUCCAGACCUGACCCACUCUCUAUUUGAGUCUGAAGAUCUGGACUUUGAAGAUCCAGGAGGGUCAGUGAUAGAUUUGGUGAAGAAUUCAAAGAAAGAAGGAGAAGAAUUCAGGUUAGAGGACGAGAUAGACCAUGUUGCAGACCUGUUCAUAAAGAGGUUCCACCGCCAGAUGAGAAUGCAGAAGCAGCUCUCCAUCAAGAGGAAUCAAGAGAUGCUUGAAAAGAGUGCCUGAUGAUGUAUAACUUUCACUUGCAAAUCUUAGAUCAAGCUAAGCCAGUUCAGUGUCAAGAUAACAAACCUGAAUUGGAGGCCCUGAAUUGCUUCGCAGUUGCAUGCUAAACUGGAAUACAAGGAAGGGGUGACUCCUUGGCAUUUCUGCUAGAUAUAUGAUUAAUUAUAUAUGUUCCUUGAGACUUUCUUCUGUAAUAUAGAAUUUUCUUGUAACUCUAGUUAUUGAUCAUCAUGUGAUAUUUCAAGUGUCCUGUUUUAAGUCAGGAAUGUUGAAAACAGAGGGUGCCCUGUUUUAUGAGGCCAUUUCUGUGCAAUAUUAAUAUAGUAGCAGAAUAAGAGAUUCUAUUUGUUUUUCUUCUAUUAAUUUGUAUUUCAAUGCAUGUCCUUCUGAAAGCACUCAAUAUAGAGUUUUUUUCAAAUUCA
rnacentral:misc_RNA from 1 species